CUAGAUGUUUCCUAAAGGAGAUAUGCAAAUGGCUAUUCAGCUCAUUAAAUGUUGAUUAACAUCAGUGGUUUCAGAGAAAACAAAAGUGAAAUACAGACUCUCAAAUAGUGUUUCAUUGAAUAUCCUUUCAUUAUAAUAUUGAGAAUGAAUAAAAAAUUGCUCAUAGGAUGGGGCCACCAUCUGUAUAAAGUUUGCUCUUUUUUCCCAUGUGGGUUUUCUCUAGGUACCCUGACUUCCUCCCACACCCCAAAGCUGUGCACACGAGGUGAACUAGCGUGUCCACAUAGUCCUAAUCUGUGUGAGUGUGGGUGUGAGUGCACCCUCUGAUGGGAUGUCAUCCUGUCCUGGGUCGUUCUUCUUUAGCUCUGAACUGCCAGGAGUGGCUCCAACCACCUGUAACCCUGAACUUGUCUAAGCAGGACCUCCAGUACUAUAUUGAAUAAAAGUUGCAGGACCGGACAUCCUUAUCCUCUUGGUGAUCCUAAAGAAUAUGGUCUACUUUGAUGCUGUGAUUUGAAUGUGUCCUCAAAAAGACAUGGUCUCCCUUUAUCGCUGAAGCGGAGCACAGGGAUUAUAGCUCAUUGCAGCCUUCGGCUUCUGGGUUCAAGUGAUUAUCUUGCCUCAGUCUCCCAAGUUGCUGAGUACCUGAGAC